ACAACCUUACUAGAACCUAACCAGGCAAGGUAGGACCAACACAACCUACUAGAACCUAACCAGGCAAGGUAGGACCAACACAACCUUCUAGAACCUAACCAGGCAAGGUAGGACCAACACAACCUUCUAGAACAGUACUAGAACCUAACCAGGCAAGGUAGGAUCAACACAACCUUCUAGAACAGGACUAGAACCUAACCAGGCAAGGUAGGACCAACACAGCCUUCUAGAACAGGACUAGAACCUAACCAGGCAAGGUAGGACCAACACAACCUUCUAGAACAGGACUUGAACCUAACCAGGCAAGGUAGGACCAACACAACCUACUAGAACCUAACCAGGCAGGGUAGGACCAACACAACCUUCUAGAUCCUAACCAGGCAAGGUAGGACCAACACAACCUUCUAGAACAGGACUAGAACCUAACCAGGCAAGGUAGGACCAACACAACCUACUAGAACCUAACCAGGCAGGGUAGGACCAACACAACCUUCUAGAUCCUAACCAGGCAAGGUAGGACCAACACAACCUUCUAGAACCUAACCAGGCAGGGUAGGACCAACACAACCUUCUAGAUCCUAACCAGGCAAGGUAGGACCAACACAACCUUCUAGAACAGGACUAGAACCUAACCAGGCAAGGUAGGCUCAACACAACCUUCUAGAACAGGACUAGAACCUAACCAGGCAAGGUAGGACCAACACAACCUUCUAGAACAGGACUAGAACCUAACCAGGCAAGGUAGGACCAACACAACCUUCUAGAACAGGACCAGAACCUAACCAGGCAAGGUAGGACCAACAC